rnacentral:rRNA from 1 species
UACGUAGGUGGCGAGCGUUGUCCGGAAUUACUGGGUGUAAAGGGCGUGUAGGCGGGGAGACAAGUCAGAUGUGAAAUACCGAGGCUUAACUUCGGGGCUGCAUCUGAAACUGUUUUUCUUGAGUGUCGGAGAGGAAAGUGGAAUUCCCAGUGUAGCGGUGAAAUGCGUAGAUAUUGGGAGGAACACCAGUGGCGAAGGCGACUUUCUGGACGACAACUGACGCUGAGGCGCGAAAGCGUGGGGAGCAAAC